rnacentral:rRNA from 1 species
AGUGAACGCUGGCGGUAGGCCUAACACAUGCAAGUCGAACGGCAGCACAGUAAGAGCUUGCUCUUACGGGUGGCGAGUGGCGGACGGGUGAGGAAUACAUCGGAAUCUACUUUUUCGUGGGGGAUAACGUAGGGAAACUUACGCUAAUACCGCAUACGACCUACGGGUGAAAGCAGGGGAUCUUCGGACCUUGCGCGAUUGAAUGAGCCGAUGUCGGAUUAGCUAGUUGGCGGGGUAAAGGCCCACCAAGGCGGCGAUCCGUAGCUGGUCUGAGAGGAUGAUCGGCCACACGAGAACGGGGACACGGACAAGACUCCUACGGGAGGCAGCAGUGGGGAAUAUUGGACAAUGGGGGCAAGCCUGAUCCAGCCAGACCGCGUGGGUGAAGAAGGCGUUCGGGUUGUAAAGCCCUUUUGUUGGGAAAGAAAAGCAGCAGGUUAAUACCCCGCUGUUCUGACGGUACCCAAAGAAUAAGCACCGGCUAACUUCGUG